CGUGGGUGACCUGCCUUCGAGCGGGGGAUAACGUUCCGAAAGGGACGCUAAUACCGCAUAACAUCCUGCCUUUGAAGAGGUGGAGAUCAAAGCUGGGGAUCGCAAGACCUAGCACUCGAAGAGGGGCCCGCGUCCGAUUAGCUAGUUGGCGAGGUAAUGGCUCACCAAGGCAACGAUCGGUAGCCGGCCUGAGAGGGCGGACGGCCACACUGGGACUGAGACACGGCCCAGACUCCUACGGGAGGCAGCAGUGGGGAAUUGUUCGCAAUGGGCGCAAGCCUGACGACGCAACGCCGCGUGGAGGAUGAAGAUCUUCGGGUCGUAAACUCCUGUCGAAUGGGACGAACGAGUCGCGGGUGAAUACCCCGCGAUUGUGACGGUACCGUUAGAGGAAGCCCCGGCUAACUCCGUGCCAGCAGCCGCGGUAAUACGGGGGGGGCUAGCGUUGUUCGGAAUUACUGGGCGUAAAGGGCUCGUACGCGGCCAACUAAGUCAGACGUGAAAUCCCUCGGCUUAACCGGGGAACUGCGUCUGAUACUGGUUGGCUUGGAUUCGGGAGAGGGAUGCGGAAUUCCAGUGUAGCGGUGAAAUGCGUAGAUAUCUGGAGGACACCGGUGGC
rnacentral:rRNA from 1 species